rnacentral:rRNA from 1 species
CUGGGCCGGAAAGUUUUUCGGUGCAGGAUGAGCCCGCGGCCUAUCAGCUUGUUGGUGGGGUAAUGGCCUACCAAGGCGACGACGGGUAGCCGGCCUGCAGGGCGACCGGCCACACUGCCAAACUGAGACACGGCCCAGACUCCUACGGGAGGCAGCAGUGGGGAAUAUUGCACAAUGGGCGCAAGCCUCCGAUGCAGCGACGCCGCGUGAGGGAUGACGGCCUUCGGGUUGUAAACCUCUUUCACCCAUGACGAAGCGCAAGUGACGGUAGUGGGAGAAGAAGCACCGGCCAACUACGAUGCCAGCAGCCGCGGUAAUACGUAGG